AUGCACGCUGGCGGCGUGCCUAAUACCUGCAAGUCGAGCGCACAGACGAGGAGCUUGCUCCUCUGACGUUAGCGGCGGACGGGUGAGUAACACGUGGAUAACCUACCUAUAAGACUGGGAUAACUUCGGGAAACCGGAGCUAAUACCGGAUAAUAUAUUGAACCGCAUGGUUCAAUAGUGAAAGACGGUUUUGCUGUCACUUAUAGAUGGAUCCGCGCCGCAUUAGCUAGUUGGUAAGGUAACGGCUUACCAAGGCAACGAUGCGUAGCCGACCUGAGAGGGUGAUCGGCCACACUGGAACUGAGACACGGUCCAGACUCCUACGGGAGGCAGCAGUAGGGAAUCUUCCGCAAUGGGCGAAAGCCUGACGGAGCAACGCUGCGUGAGUGAUGAAGGUCUUCGGAUCGUAAAACUCUGUUAUUAGGGAAGAACAAAUGUGUAAGUAACUAUGCACGUCUUGACGGUACCUAAUCAGAAAGCCACGGCUAACUACGUG
rnacentral:rRNA from 1 species